UAAGGGAAAAGGUAACGUAAAAACAGAAAAAUUGCAUUGGUUCAUUGAUUCACUGAAUAAGUUUAUUACCAAAAGUUUUAUUAGGAGUCCUAUUACAAUUAUAGCUAUUCCAUUUAGUUUUGAUAUGCAAAAUCAGUGGGAGUUGAGUUCUAUUCCACUUAAUUUCAUUCUUUUUUUUUUUUUGAGACAGUUCAAUUAUUUUGUGUAUUGAUAUUUAGUUUAGUUCUUUUAUUGGAUUGUGUGACUUCAAUUUUUAUGUUUACUAUUAUUUGACAAAUAAAUCCAGUUACAUGUCAUCAUGCAGUAUAAAUAGCUCCAGUCCAUGCAUAAGACAUGAGAUCGUGACAAUGUCAUUAUUUUGCUUAUGCAAAAGGAGAGAUCUUGGUAGUCUCUUAAGGAAGG
rnacentral:lncRNA from 1 species